rnacentral:rRNA from 1 species
AGAGUUUGAUCAUGGCUCAGAGCGAACGCUGGCGGCAGGCUUAACACAUGCAAGUCGAACGGACCCUUCGGGGUUAGUGGCGGACGGGUGAGUAACACGUGGGAACGUGCCUUUAGGUUCGGAACAACAGAGGGAAACUUCUGCUAAUACCGGAUGUGCCCUUCGGGGGAAAGAUUUAUCGCCUUUAGAGCGGCCCGCGUCUGAUUAGCUUGUUGGUGAGGUAAAGGCUCACCAAGGCUACGAUCAGUAGCUGGUCUGAGAGGAUGGCCAGCCACAUUGGGACUGAGACACGGCCCAAACUCCUACGGGAGGCAGCAGUGGGGAAUCUUGCGCAAUGGGCGAAAGCCUGACGCAGCCAUGCCGCGUGGAUGAUGAAGGUCUUAGGAUUGUAAAAUCCUUUCAGCGGGGACGAUAAUGACGGUACCCGCAGAAGAAGCCCCGGCUAACUUCGUGCCAGCAGCCGCGGUAAUACGAAGGGGGCUAGCGUUGCUCGGAUUUACUGGGCGUAAAGGGCGCGUAGGCGGACAGUUAAGUUGGGGGUGAAAGCCCGGGGCUCAACCUCGGAAUUGCCUUCAAUACUGGCUGUCUUGAGUGUGAGAGAGGUGUGUGGAACUCCGAGUGUAGAGGUGAAAUUCGUAGAUAUUCGGAAGAACACCAGUGGCGAAGGCGACACACUGGCUCACUACUGACGCUGAGGCGCGAAAGCGUGGGGAGCAAACAGGAUUAGAUACCCUAGUAGUCC